UACGAAGGGGGCUAGCGUUGCUCGGAAUCACUGGGCGUAAAGCGCGCGCAGGCGGUCCUUUAAGUCAGGGGUGAAAGCCCAGAGCUCAACUCUGGAACUGCCUUUGAAACUAGAGGACUUGGGUACGGGAGAGGUGAGCGGAAUUCCGAGUGUAGAGGUGAAAUUCGUAGAUAUUCGGAAGAACACCAGUGGCGAAGGCGGCUCACUGGCCCGUUACCGACGCUCAGGCGCGACAGCGUGGGGAGCAAACAGG
rnacentral:rRNA from 1 species